UACGGGGGGAGCAAGCGUUGUUCGGAUUCAUUGGGCGUAAAGGGUGUGUAGGUGGCGCCGUAAGUCGGGUGUGAAAUUUCGGAGCUUAACUCCGAAACUGCAUUCGAUACUGCGGUGCUUGAGGACUGGAGAGGAGACUGGAAUUCAUGGUGUAGCAGUGAAAUGCGUAGAGAUCAUGAGGAAGACCAGUGGCGAAGACGGGUCUCUGGACAGUUCCUGACACUGAGACACGAAGGCCAGGGGAGCAAACGGG
rnacentral:rRNA from 1 species